rnacentral:rRNA from 1 species
AGGUGUAACGUCACGCAUCUA